CACCGGUGGGGACAAAAGUUGGUGCUUCAAAAUCUUUUUUUAUCUUUGAUGGGAAGAAAGGAGGGCUUGACGCCUGGCACUACUGUCUGUGGGGGCCACCGCCACUUGGUCGGAUGUCCCCAUAGUAGGGAAGAAGGAGAGCACAGCGGUCGGAACUGUUGCUCCUUUCGAUUUUCUUUUUUUUUGUGUGUUUGGAUCUAUUGAUUCAUAUGAAAAUUAAUGGCCCUCGAUCGCCACCUCAUCCCAGUCGCCGUUUGUCGAACACUAUCAGUGGGUCUCCGGUUAUCACUUUGCCAAAUGGCAAGGCACCAUUAGCCGUGGAA
rnacentral:lncRNA from 1 species